rnacentral:rRNA from 1 species
ACGGCCAUAUCACAUUGGAAACACCCGUUCUCGUCCGAUCAUCGAAGUUAAGCAAUGUCAGGGCCGAUCAGUACUUGGGAGGGUGACCACCUGGAAACACUGGGUGCUGUAGGCU